CCAAAAAUCUAGCCUAACACAACUAAAAACCCUCUCCCUAAACUAAAAUAUUCUUAAUAAUAAGUAAAGACGAUUGAAAAUUUAAUCUGAGCUGCAAUCCUGUACCGCAAGGGAAAGAAUGAAAUAUAAUAAAAACAAUUUAAGCACAAAAAAGUAGAGACCUCCCUCGUACCUUUUGCAUCAUGGUUUAACUAGUCUACCUUAGCAAAAAGACCUUAAAGCUAAACUCCCCGAAACUAAGUGAGCUAUUUAAAGACAGCUCACUGAGCAAAUUCAUCUCUGUUGCAAAAGAGUGGAAAGAUCCUUAAAUAGAGGCGACACACCUAACGAACUUAGUGAUAGCUGGUUACUCAGGAAAAGAAUUUUAGUUCUACCUAAACAUCCUACAAUAAAAUAAAAUUUAUACUUUACUUUAGAGCAAUUCAAAUAAGGUUCAGCUUAUUUGAUAUAGGACACAACCUCAACUAACGGGUAAUCUUUAUAUUAUUAUAACCCAGUUGGCCUAAUAGCAGCCACCAUUAAAAGCGUCAUAGCUUACUUCUUUCACUUCAACAAUAACUUUAAUUUUACCAAACCCUUCAUCAAUACUGAGUAAUUCUAUAUUUCUAUAGAAGAUUUUCUGUUAAAACUAGUAAUAAGAAAAUAAUUUUCUCCACAUGCAAGCAUAAGUCAGUCUGUACCCAACACUGACAAUUAAUAGACCUAAACCUAAAGUAGCAACCCCACAAGAAAACACUACCCCCCCACUCUAUUAACCUAACACAAGAGCAUCCCAGGAAAGAUUUUAAAAAAAAGAAGGAACUCGGCAAACACUAAUCCCGCCUGUUUACCAAAAACAUCGCCUUUUGACAUCUUCAUAAAAGGUCCAGCCUGCCCAGUGACUUUUGUUCAACGGCCGCGGUAUCCUAACCGUGCAAAGGUAGCGUAAUCACUUGUUUUUUAAAUAAAGACUAGUAUGAAAGGCAUCACGAGGAUAAAGCUGUCUCCUUUUUUUGAUCAGUGAAACUAAUCUUCCCGUGAAGAAGCGGGAAUAUUUAAAUAAGACGAAAAGACCCUAUGGAGCUUUAAACAUUAUAGCAUAUGUUAAAUUAUCCCCACCUCAAGCAUCAUUGACUAUAAGUUUUCGGUUGGGGCGACCACGGAGCAAAACAAACCCUCCAAGUUGAUUAUAUCCCUAAGCCCAGAGCUACAGCUCCAAGCAUUAAUAAAUUAACAUCAAUUGACCCAGUAUUCUGACCAACGAACCAAGUUACCCUAGGGAUAACAGCGCAAUCUACUUCAAGAGCCCUUAUCGACAAGUGGGUUUACGACCUCGAUGUUGGAUCAGGAUGUCCUAGUGGUGUAGCCGCUACUUUAGGU
rnacentral:rRNA from 1 species